GACGAACGCUGGCGGCGUGCUUAACACAUGCAAGUCGAGCGGUAAGGCCCUUUCGGGGGUACACGAGCGGCGAACGGGUGAGUAACACGUGGGUGACCUGCCUCUAGCUCUGGGAUAAGCCUGGGAAGCUGGGUCUAAUACCGGAUAUGACCUCGCGGUGCAUGUUGCGGGGUGGAAAGCCUUGUGCGGCUAGGGAUGGGCCCGCGGCCUAUCAGCUUGUUGGUGGGGUGANGGCCUACCAAGGCGACGACGGGUAGCCGGCCUGAGAGGGCGACCGGCCACACUGGGACUGAGACACGGCCCAGACUCCUACGGGAGGCAGCAGUGGGGAAUCUUGCGCAAUGGGCGAAAGCCUGACGCAGCGACGCCGCGUGAGGGAUGACGGCCUCGGU
rnacentral:rRNA from 1 species